ensembl:snRNA Gm24630 U6 spliceosomal RNA
CUUCUCACAUUGACAGCACAUAUACUAAACUUGGAAUGAUACAGAAAAUACUAGCAUGGCUCCGUGCAAGGAUGACAAGCAAAUUUGUGAGGCCUUCCAUAUUUGU